ACCAGGAGUGCCCUUGGCCCGGCACCAGGGACACGAGUGGCACGCUCAGUUAGGAAAUUUGUGAAGGAUUUCCAGCUCAUUCCAUCUGUACCAGUUGAAAGAUACCAGACCAACAUGAAAAGGCAGACUGGGAAGGCCAUUUUCCAUGGAAAAAGGUCAGAUUUGGUGCAUUGUACUUAAUGACAUACAUUUUAUGUAUCUGACAGACA
rnacentral:lncRNA from 1 species